rnacentral:lncRNA from 13 species
UUGGAAAUCAUGUUGCUAGUCAUUAGCAGCCAGAAGGAGCAUAGCCUAUAUGAAGGUAGCUGUAGGUGAGGGAUCCUAGCCAAUAGCCAAGGAGGAUUACAGAGGAAAGGACACUAAGGACCUAAUGGAAAUACCCCCCAAAAGAGUGCAUCUUCUUAAGAAGUCUACCAUAUGCAGAGGGCAUCUACUCCAGGUCACAACUGCACCAACCAGAAUUACCAAUACCUGCUACCAAUAGAAGGCCUGCUGCCAAGUAGACUAUUAAGUAUUUGAAGAGUGAAUGUGUGGCAGCCAAAAUAUAUAAUGCACCUAUGAAAAAGCUGGAUGUGAAGCCAGGAUUUAGGGCAUCAGGACAUGAUACAAGUGAGCCCCUGUGUCAGCAGCUUUCGCAGAACAAGGAGAAAGUAAGAUCAAGUUGCAAUUGGAAAUCUGGGGGUACAGGCACCAGGAAAGAAGAUGCUCUAACUGGGAGUCAGGAUUUGGGGGAUGAGGUCAGUGGGGAGGGCAAGUGGGGAGGUAAGAAUGUUUAA